rnacentral:lncRNA from 1 species
AGGGAUCUUCGGUUAAUCCUAUGGCACCACCAUCGCCCUUCACAAUUGCAUUAUUCUGUUGUUGUGCCUGAUCAAUUGUGUUAUAAGAAAGACAUUUGCUGGACUUACGGACAGUGAAAUUUUCAUUUUCAAAUUCCAUUGCCACCUGUGGAUGAUGUUCGGGAAGGGAAGUCAUAUCUCGGAGACGGUCGGUAACGAUCUAGCAUAAUUUACACGAUCAAGACCUAAAACAAUACGCUUUCGAGCUUUAUAUGGACUUUUUGAAAAGUACGAAAUCUCACUCAUGAAAUGAGCAAAAUCAGAAGAAGUUCUUAAUUUAUAAUUAAACGCCAGGAAUUAAACUGUGGUCGAAAUGACUCUAUUUCCUUACACCAGUCUUUUAAAUCAUUGAACGCCACAAUGUUUUCAUAACAGUCAUGACAUAAUUAUAUAUGCUGAGUUGAGCUUUCAUAAUCCGAAAUUAACAAUUCAAGCAAAAUACAUGCGGUUGUCUGAUACGUCUGUCUAGUUCUAUGUACAUUUGAAAAUACAUAAAAAGAAUCUGAUGUUCUUGGUGUUGCAAUAUUGGCUUCAGUAAGACGAAAUGUCCAUCCGUACCACGCAAUAUAUCACCCAGAGUUUUAUAACAAGUCAUUUCAAUGUGCUAUCCACCAAACAUUACGAUACACUUAUCUCUUUCUUACUAAUCAGGACAUUCUUACUGAAUUUGAUUUACCAAUCGAAUACCUGAGAAAUGCUUGGUAGUGCAUACAAAUUGCUCUUGAUGUCUAUAAAUAGUUUGCACAUGCGCAAAAGUGUUAAACACAUGUGUAUCAUAACCUUGAAAAAUGUUAUUAAACCAAUUCAUAAUAUCAUUAGAAAUCCAAAAACACUAAAUAUAUGUGAAAUAGUUCAAAUGUUUUUGAAAGAAUUUUGUUACAUUUUCGCGCAUGCGCAAAUACUGGAUAUGUCAAAUAUUAAUUUUUUAAUAAAUAUGUGAUGUAAGGAAGGUAUCCACCAAACUAGGUAAUUGGUUUUUACUAAAAGAAGUUCAAAGA